rnacentral:rRNA from 1 species
UGAUAGUAUCAGAAGAGGAAGAGACGGCUAACUCUGUGCCAGCAGCCGCGGUAAUACAGAGGUCUCAAGCGUUGUCCGGAUUCAUUGGGCGUAAAGGGUGUGUAGGUGGCGCGCUAAGUCGGGUGUGAAAUUUCGGAGCUUAACUCCGAAACUGCAUUCGAUACUGGCGUGCUUGAGGACUGGAGAGGAGACUGGAAUUUACGGUGUAGCAGUGAAAUGCGUAGAUAUCGUAAGGAAGACCAGUGGCGAAGGCGGGUCUCUGGACAGUUCCUGACACUGAGACACGAAGGCCAGGGGAGCAAACGGGAUUAGAUACCCCGGUAGUCCUGGCAGUAAACGGUGCACGUUUGGUGUGGGAGGAUUCGACCCCUUCUGCGCCGGAGCUAACGCGUUAAACGUGCCGCCUGGGGAGUACGGUCGCAAGAUUAAAACUCAAAGAAAUUGACGGGGGCCCGCACAAGCGGUGGAGUAUGUGGCUCAAUUCGAUGCAAUGCGAUGAACCUUACCAGGCCUUGACAUGCAUCUCUAAACCGGUGAAAGCCGGCGAGUGUCGAAAG